rnacentral:rRNA from 1 species
AAUGAACGUUGGCGGCGUGGAUUAGGCAUGCAAGUCGAGCGAGAACCCAGCAAUGGGGGACAGCGGCGUAAGGGACAGUAAUGUGUAGAUUAUCUGCCCUCGGGACCGGGAUAGCUGCGGGAAACUGCAGGUAAUACCGGAUAACAUCUCCGGAUCAAAGGUGUGAUUCCGCCCGAGGAUGAGUCUGCAUCCUAUUAGCUAGUUGGCAGGGUAAUGGCCUACCAAGGCUUUGAUGGGUAGCGGGUGUGAGAGCACGACCCGCGUCAUUGGGACUGAGACACUGCCCAGACACCUACGGGUGGCUGCAGUCGAGAAUCUUCGGCAAUGGGCGCAAGCCUGACCGAGCGACGCCGCGUGUGGGAUGAAGGCCUUCGGGUUGUAAACCACUGUUAGAGGGGAUGAAAUGCAGGUGGGUUCUCCCAUCUGUUUGACAUAGCCUCAGAGGAAGGACGGGCUAAGUUCGUGCCAGCCGCCGCCGUAACAC